UAAACGUUUAUGGGUAGCGUUUCGAUCCUUUACACUUAAAAUCUAAAAUCCAUCUUCGGGCUGUUGACGUGGUGGAACUCUCAAGCAUAUCUGACCGGCGUAUCGUCCUUUAUCAUUUUUAAUUUUUUUAAAACUAUAGCCCCACACUUAGCUCCCUCUCCCUCAUGCCUACAGUGCUCCGAACGCAUCACCAUUUAAUCCGACUCUGAACGCUGCUGUGCGAGUACAGUGGUUUUGUUAUA